rnacentral:lncRNA from 1 species
UUAUUCACAUGAUAAGGGUCCUAAACCACUUAGAUCUUGAGAAUAGAAUAUGGGAAGAGAUUCGCAUGAUUAGACAAAUGAACGAGAUUCUUUCGAUCUAAUCAAGAAGCCAAGACAGACGGUAUUUGAAUCAGGAAGCAUCACAUUCACCAAAGCUGACCUGGAGAGGGUACAACAUCCCCAUACUGAUUCUCUGGUCAUCCAGCUCAGGAGUGAACAAUUAUGAUGUGAAGAGGAUCCUGGUGGAUACAAGAAGCUCUGUUGAGGUAAUGUAUUAUGACCUCUUUAAACAACUCAAGCUUCCACAAUCAGACUUAAAACCAUCUCGAGCCUCUCUAGUUAGAUUUAACGCUCAGUCUCUUUAGCCUUUAGGAACCGUGACUCUUAAAAUCUGAGUUGGUUCCCAAGAGUUGGUGACAGAGUUUGUUAUUGUGGACAUACCUUCCCCUUAUAAUGCUAUUAUUGGCCGAGAUUGGUUGCACAUGAUGAAGGAAGUGGCUUGCACAUUGCAUCAAGUCAUUAAGUUUCCAACCCCCGAGGUGAAGAAACCCUUAAUGGGGAUCAACUAGAGGCCAAACAAUGCUACCUCGCUAUCCACUAAGGCGAACAUGAAAAAUGUGCAACUUAUUGAAAAGGAUCACGAGGUCUUAGAGGAUGUCGGGAGGGACCCCAAAACUAAGGUCAUUGAGGACCUGAUACGUUAUGAACUGAAUGAGCCAAGUUUGGAUCGUUUCUUUCUUAGCGGUGCAAAUCUAGAAAAAAGAGAAAGAACCAAGCUCAUCUAGUUUUUUACAACUAAUAUUGAGGUCUUCACAUGGACACCUUACGAGAUGCCCAGGGUAUACCACAAUUUCAUCAAACACGAACUUAACGUCCUACCCGAUGCCUGACCAAGGAAACAAUAAGGAAAAAGAUCCAUAACCGAGCAUGUGAAUGCAGUGAUUGAAAAGGUGAAAAAAUAAAGGAGGCAAGUGCAUAACAAAAGUUUUCUACCCGAGUUGGCUGUCAAAAAGAGUUGUGGUAAAGAAAAAGACUAACAAAUGAAGGGUCUGCGUAGACUUCAUAAGCCUCAAUCGGGCUUGUCUGAAAGACUGCUUUCCUUUUCCAAAGAUUGAUCAAUUGGUGGACUCUACUUCGGGUCAUGUCCGGUUGAGCUUCCUGGAUGCAUACCGAGAUUACCACCAAAUAGCAAUGCACGAGCCCGACCAGGAGAAAAUUGCAUACGUCACCCCUGAGGCGUAUUAUACUACAAGGUUAAGCCCUUUAGGUUGAAAAACGCUGGCACCACAUAUCAAAGGAUGGUCAAAAUAUUUGAGCCAAUCUUAGGUAAAACCAUAGACGCAUAUAUCGACGAUAUGGUGGUUAAAAGGAAAAAAGAGUCAGACCAUGUCAGAGAUCUAACCGAGGUGUUCAAAAUACUAAGAAGACACGAGCUAAGACUGAACGCAGUGAAGAAUGCCUUUGAGGUGAACUCGAAAAAAUUCUUAGGGCACUUAGUGACAAGACGAGGGAUCGAUGCGAAUCCAUAAUAAAUUACGGCGAUCAACAAUCUCGUCAGCCCAAGGACUGCAAAUGAGGUUAAAAAACUGACCGAAAUGAUAGCAACACUAAAUAGAUUAAUCAAUAAGUCCUUUAAUAAAUGCCGUCCAUUUUUCAAACUCAUUCGCAAAAAUACAAAGUUUCUAUGGAAUGAGGAGUGCGAGCUCGCAUUUCAAAAGUUCAAAAUAUUAAAACCACCACUUCUUUCUACUUUGGAUGAGGGAGAGUUGUUCUAUGUUUAUCUCGCUGUCUCUAAACAUGCCACUAGCUCAGUUCAAAACGUUUACAAAUUGCCAAAUAAGGUAUCUGUCACUGAAGAAGCUCGUUCUGGCCUUGGUUUUAACUUUGCGAAAACUCAUGCACUACUUUCAAGCCUAUCCUAUCGCUGUGUAUACAGAGUUUAUGCUUAAAAAUAUUUUAUCAAAAGCAAUAAAAACUCAUGCACUACUUUCAAGCCCAUCCUAUCACUGUGCAGACUUGUCCGGCCGACUCUUCAAAUAGGUUGUCGAGCUUGAACAAUUAGAUAUAAAAUUCCUGCCAAGGGCACUAAUAAAAGGACAAGUCUUGGCCAAUUUUGUGAUGGAGUUCUCUCCUCAAGUUGUGAGUCUAGAGCAAGGUUACCUUGUGUCUACACAUAGAGGGGAGGAGAGCUCAGAGGCAAGAUCCCCCGAGAUUCAAUCAGUACCCGGGGAUCAAGAGGUUAUUCGAGAACCGCCCCAAAAUGUAGAAAUAAUCGACGCUAAUGGGAUCUUUGCCGUUUCAGAGGUUAUUGAAGAACCACCUCAUAUUGAUCUCACCUUGUCCUAAAAAAUGUUUACUGAUGGAGCGAGAAAUAGCUUGGGUGCAGAGGUAGGAAUAGUUUUAAGAAGUCCAAAGGAGCAAUUUUUGAACAUUGUCUCAUACUGAAUUUUUCUACAACAAACAACGAAGCCGAAUAUGAAGCCUUCAUUGUGGGACUACAGCCUGUCAGCACACUAAAGGUUCUCGAGUUUUACAUAUUCAGUAACUCAAAACAAGUGAUCAACCAAGUCACAUAAAAAUUAGAAGCUCGAGGGGUCAAGAUGGCUAAAUAUUUGGUAGUGGCUAAGAAUCUCCUUACCGGAUUUAAAGUAGUAAAAAUCGAGCAAGUAGGGAGGGACUUAUAUUCACAUGCAAAUGCACUGCCACGCUUGGCAUCAAUUUUUGAAGGAGAGGUAGGUCGGACCAUCACAAUCGAUUUGAUCUUGGCUCUCAAUUAUGAAAUGCCUCAAGAAUUCAUCUUAGUCAACACUGAGUAGGGGCCAAGCUGGAUGGAUCCAAUUGUGAAUAUUAUAUGACACGAAAAGCUACCAGAAGACAAGAAAGAGAUGCAGAACUCCAAAUAAAUGCAGACAGUUCUGGAUCUCCCCCAUCAGGACUUGUACAAAAGUUCGUAUAUGGGACUCUACCUGUUGUGCGUCCACCUGAGCCUAGUUGAGGACAUACUUUUUGAAAAUUCACGAACGCAUGUGUAGACUACACUCAGGGGGGAGAUCACUGGCUCCCUGAGUCCUAGCUCAAGGAUAUUGGUGGCCAUACAUGCAAAAAAAUACCAAAGUGUAUGUCUUCAAAUAUACCAAAUACCACAUCUUCUCCCCCCUAAUUCAUCAACCAACAAGGGAUUUGAUCACUCUAACUAGUCCAUGGCCCUUUGCCCAAUGGGGGACAUUGUAGGGGUCCAGCCCUAAGCUUCAGGGAAUAAGAAACUCUUGUUAGCGGCAACAGACUACUUUACAAAGUGGGUGGAGGCCGAACCUCUAGCCUAAAUUAGGGAGGUUGACGUAAUCAGGUUUAUUCGUAGAAACAUUCUAUCCAGGUUUGGCAUCCCCAAGGCGUUCGUAUCAGACAAUGGAACUUAGUUCAUCGGCAAAAAAGUUAAAGAAUUAUUGGGAUAGUUGAAGAUCGAGUUCUAUAACUCAACACCGAGCUAAUACAGUGCAAUGGGCAAGUUGAGGCCACCAACAAAACAAUCAUGAACGGGAUCAAGAAGAGGCUUGAAAAAGCCGAUGAAAAAUGGGUCGAGAAACUGUCAAACAUUUUGUAGGUCAUCGGACCACACCACAAAAAGUAACGAACGAAAUGCCUUACAUUUUGUCUUUCGGAUUUGACGCUAAUCCCGCUAAGGUCGGUUUGCCCACAAUAUGGACUAAGGCAUACGACAUCAGUCACAAUUAGCUCAGUACCUCGACCUUGAUGACGAACGAUAAGAAAAUGCACUAAUACGAAUGGAUGACUAUCAGAAGCAAUUAGUUAAGACUUACAACCAGAAGGUCCAACACAGAUAAUUUUCAGUUAGAGAUCUCGUUCUAAGAAAAGUUGUUGAAAAUACCAAGGACUCGGCGGACAGGAAGCUACAAGAUAGUCAAGCUCGUCGUCAAGGGCGAUUACUACCUCGAUGAUCCCAAAGGCAAAUUAGCUCCGAGACCUUAGAAUUCCAACAACUUGAGAAAAUACUACAAUUGAAAUGUAAUCUCUCGGUCCGAGCUGGAAUUUAUAUCAAAUACACUUGUAAAAACUUUUUACUUAAAGAUUCUAUUUUCUGCCCUAACAUUCGACUUAAGCAUUACAAGCCAAAGCUAGAGAAAAGCACUAUGCACUACAAGCAUGCCAAAAAUAGCAAAUUCUUGUUAAGGCAUGACCUAACCUAACCAAAUGAGCUUUUCCAAGUUUGAAAAAGAAUACAUCCUUAUAAUUGGGUCGAGUAGCAAAAAUUUAGGGAAGAGUUAACCGAGCUCAAUGUGAGUUCCGAGUUUUGUCCCACAAGCUUUCCCUAAAGUAUACUUAGCAACAUUUAAGGAAGAGUUAGCUAAGCUCUACUCGAGCUCUUACCCACGAAUUUUGCCUAAGUAUACUUAGAAAAAAUUUAGGAAAGAGUUAGUCGAGGUUCACGCGAACUCCGAGCUCUGUCCCAUGAGUUUUUCCUAAGUAUACUUGGCAAAACAUUUGAGAAAAAAGUUAGCCGAGCUCUACACAAACUCUGAACUCUUUUUCACGAGUUUUGCCUAAGUAUACUUAGUAAAAAUAAUUUUUUUAAGAAAGAAUUAGCUGACCUUAAUGCGAGUUCCAAACUCUGCCCCUCGAGAAUUAAGUGGAAACUUUCAAGUAGAAAAUGAAAUGCAAGCGAGGUCCAGAAAGAAAGUUCAUUCAUCACAGAAAAUUAUUUAACUACAGAGUUGUUCAACUAUAGAAUUGUUCACAAAUAGAAAAUUGUUCAAGUACAGAGUUGUUCAACUACACAAUUAUCCCAAAAUAAAAAAUUGUUCAAAUACAAAGUUGCUCAAGUACAAAAUUGCGAGCUCUUUCAUACAAGCAAGCAAGCCAUCUUGGAAGCAGUCUGAGCUUUAUUGGGUAACCCUUGUGGUUAGUUGCCUCAGAUAAUAGAUAUGGUCGACUGGGAACGUGGUCAUCUAAAAGAUAUCCAUGAUUUGACUUCGGCCCAUGAAAUAGAUGUUGCACGACAAUAUUUUCUAACUAGGUUGAGGUCUGCAAUAUCGAUACCAGCAAAACUAUACUUAUAGAGCAUUUGUUGCUCGCAUCAUAUUAUUUAUCAUCUAUGGGAGAGUUUGUCGCCUUGAAUGAUGAUUCAAAGAACACAAACGUUUGGAUAUAUCAAAAAUGAUCAGAAGUUUCAUAUCAUGGAACUAGCUCAGUAACGAUCAAUUGUGAAUUGUGGAAGAACUUUUUAGGACACAGGGUGCAAAACGGCUAACCGUGAGCAAACGAGCUCUGCCCUAACGAAGCUUUGAUUUGCCUAGUAUAAAAAAAAAGACUACUUUAUUUAUUUCCUAAAGAAACUAUCAGAACCUCCUACCGCAAUCAAAACUAUUCACAACAAAAGGGCUUGGGGGACAAAACCCCAAGGCUAAUGGUUUCAAUCCUAGGGGACGACUAGGGUUUUAGAUAGAGGAAGACUAAGAAAAGCCUAAAAAAUUUGGGAUACAGGCAAUAAGGGAUCUAGAGAAUUUAUAGUAGCAGAAGGAAAGAGAAAAGACCGCAAUUAAAAAGGGAGGCAAACAAACCACAAUUAAAAAGGCAAGUGAAGUGGCAGGAUGAGGCAGCCCAAGCCUUGGGACAUGUCAUUCUCAGGACCUAGUCGUAGUGGGUGAAAUAGUGGAUGAAGUUAUUGUACUUGGUUCUCAGGACCUAGUCGUAGUGGUCAUGAUCUAAAAAAUUUGUGGCUGAUUUUUAGAAACUUAGGCUCUAUAUCUUGUCGCGCAAUAGUGUGAACCCAUUGAGAGAAAAAAUAUCUUGGGAUUUUAAAUGUGUUCAAGGUGACUGCAGCUAAGAGUCGUCAAUGGGCCGGGUUGGGCCAACACAAGCUCAUUUUGGACAGAUUGAGUUUCAUGAUUUUUGACCGGUCAAUGGACCGGAUUAAAUUUGGGCUGGACUUGAAAGAUGAAAUUGGGCCUAGGGCCUUUUAAAUAAUAUUUUUUUAAAAAUAUAUUUUAUUUUAAAUUAAAAGACCUAAAAUUUAAAGCUGAAAAAAAUAAUUGUAGUCAUAAAAUCAUCCAUAAUAUUAAUCUUUUACAAAUAAAAACAUAAAUAUUAUAAAAAUUAAUACAUUCAAGUUGGGCCUGGCAGAGUUUAUGGAUCGAACAGGAGCCGGCCCACGGGCUUUCAGACUUGGACCCAAGUUCAGCUUAUACUAUCUCGAGCUCGAGCCGAACUUGGAUCCUCUAAGUCAUAGGCUGGGCCAAAUCCCAUUAACCAAGACUGGACCUAGACCCGGGCCGAGUCAUGAACCCGCGAGCUUUUUAAUGAGGCUUAACUCCAGCUCUCAUCUCUGGAACUUAUUUUCCAAGAAUUUUUUUGUCUCUUUCCACAUUUAUUUUCCACUUGUGUAAAAUGGUGCCUUGAGGAUCAAUUACCUCUCGUUUUCCUGGAAAGUGAAAGUUGUGGUGCACAACAGCCGUUGUGGGCCGUCUUUGAAGUCUUCUCAAAGAAAAAUAUAGUAUUGUUGAGUGAGAAAAAUUCAGAUAAUCUGAUUAGAGGAUUUUUUUAUUUUUUUUUUGAGAUGAUAUUCUUGACCUGCUUGUCUCUUGUGUUAACAAGUGGGAAUGGUGUUAGUUGACAAUAUGUCAUUGGAGUUAUCUGCUUUAAGUUAUGUCAGAUAAUUGAGAACACAAAUUCUGACUCUCAAGCUGAGUGUCUAUUUUUUAUUUUUUAUGUUUGUUUAGUUUUAUUUAUUUUUUAUAAAAUAUAAAUUAAAAAUAUAUUUAUUUUUAUCUUAUUUUAAAUUAUUUAAAAAUAAAAUUAUGGUGUCGGUGGUUGUAGAAACAGAGAUCGUGGAGGAGGUGAUGGUAGAGGUGGUGGCGUUAGUAGUAGUGGAGGCGGCGGAGACAGCGACGGUAGAGACGUGGCACACAUGAAUAGUGCAUUUGCCGAAAAUAAAUUUUGUAAACAAAUAAAAAAUUAUAUUUUGAUAUUUUUACUAUUUUAAUAAAUAGUGAAAAUAAUUUUAUAUUAUUUUCAAUUAUAAGUAGUAACACAAACAAAUUCUUAUUUACAUUUGUACUAAAAAUAAAAAAAAAUGAAAUAGUUACCACAUAAGCCUUUUAAGUAAUUGCCUAUGACACGAGCCCAUUUAACUUGUUUGCUAGAGCCUUAGACUUCUCAAUUUCUAAGUCCUGGCUCGUACAUAUGAAACUCUUCAAGCUCCCCAAAGUGGUGAACUUGAAAUCCAUACCUAUCAAGCAAGCCCAAAAAGUCCUAAUGGUACAACACUUGUACAUCCAUUUAUAAAUAAUAUAUUUUUUAAAGUUUUUGUUGGUGGUAAUUUGUGGCGAUGGGGUGGAUUGAUAUGUUCACGUUUCCUUCCUUUUUUUUUUUUCUUUCGCCCUCUAUGUUUUUUGAUCUAAACCAAAUCAUAACGAAGACUUGUAUUCCACUCUAUUGGUGGUUUGUGUUUACGACUUAAUCGUUUUUUUCUCAAUUCCUCUAUAUCUCUCAGUUAAUUUUAGUCGAUGCAUAUCCUUUUUCUUGAUACCAUCCCAUCCCAUCCCAAUUUCGGUCAAACCAAGAAAAGAUGCCAAGUGCCCGUUCGUUUUGUCAGAAUUCAUGAACUUCGAAUUCCUUUUUUCUUUGUUGUUUGUCUUGGUGUGUUAUCUAUUGGUGAAAUUAACGAACAUUGUUUUAAACUGAACCAAUCGCGUGGAAAGGAGUCCUCACUGUAAAAAUCCGAACACAAAAUUUAUUUCUAAUUAAUUAUUAGAAAUCAUGGGCAAAUUACUUCAUAUGCAAAGUAAGAUUUCUUAUAUUGGGAUGUGUUUCUCUCGGCUAGUGCAUAGUUUGUUGCCUUCUUCUCUUGGUGCUUUUGUAGCUUUUACAUUGACAUCAAUAAAUUUCUUUUGGGGAUACAAAAAAAAAAUGAAAAAGAAAACAAGCAUGUGCUUCGUCAUGUAGAUGAUGUGCGCUUUCCACAUCUAAUGCCUAAUCUCGGGUAAAUAACGAUAGUUUCUUUCUUUCUUCUUCUUUUGCCUAUAUUGGGGAUUCAGAUGCACUUUCCAAAAUGAGAAAGAGAAGCUUGAGCAUGGAGGGAAAAAUCAACCCUUGUCCUAGUGAGGUAUAGGAGCCCAUAGCAAACUUAGGUAGCAAUAGUUAGGGUAAAUUACGCUAGCAGAUUCUGUAGGUUUGGAAAACGCUUUAAUUAGUCUAUAUUUUGAGUUUGAACAUUGUCUUUCUGGAAUUCUUAUCUCAAAUUUAAAAACUAACACAAAAUACCAUGCUAGAAUGUGCCUUGAGGGCAUCAAAAGUAACCUUCACCACAUAAUCAUCCCCUGAAUAUGGGUUAUCCUUCCUUUCAUUGAUAAACCUCGUACAAUCGUCAUUAAUGCGAGAAACAAGGGGGCUUCGUCUCAUAGUUGCUCAAAACCAUUAACAUCAUAUACAACCCAUUCCAGAAGAACUUAUUUUAGAAUCUUAGCCCAGAUUAAUGUCUUACUAGUUGAAGUACAUUCAUUUUCUCUCCUUUCUCUCCUCUUUUUCACUCGACACACCUACAUUGUUCUUCACUUCUUCUUGCAUACAAAUAAAAAUUUUUUUAUAUGAGAUUGAAUCUUUAGUUCAGGAUCUUGAUGACUGCGAUUACUGUGGUAUGUAAAAACGCUCAAGUUUUUCACGUUGACCAACGUAAAGCUUCAAUAUGAAAUCUUCAUCCAGUAUUCAGUCACUGUCUUAUUCCAGGACACUUUGUGCAUAUUUGUUCAGUAUCACGCUCUCACAGAUUUCUAUGAAAUUAUAAAUUGUUUGAACUUGAGCCACCCAAUCGUUUUUAAAUUGGAAGCUUGAUUUGGGACUAUCAUACUUUUUUUUUUCAAGCCUGUUGAAUUUCCUCUGUAGGUGAGCUGUGUGUACUAGCAGCUACAACCAUGAUCCUACUUUCAUCUUCCCCGAGGAAAUGGGAACUAAGCCAUGUCUCCACUGGUUUCUUCUUGAUUAUCAAUGCUCCACAACUCCCCCAAACCCAAUGAAUCCCAUUCCUACACUGAUGGAGAACCAUAGCUUUUCAAACUUACCCUCAUCAUCUGUGUCUUUUCUUCCUCUCCUCCAGGGGCUGGCCCACCGACUUCCGUACACUUGGUCCAUGUGGAAGACCACAAAGUCAGCGAGGUACUCGUUCAAUUGAAUGGAUCAUUGAGGGUCUGGAACUGGUUGCGUGUGGGGAUUUGACACAGACAAAUUGUUUAUCUGAACAGGUUCAAUAUGCAGAAAUCGAGCAUGCCUAACCUGUGGAAUAGGCACCUGAAAGCAUCGUUCAUGUAGAGAGUCGAGGAGUUGGUUUCUAACCUUUGUAAGUUUUCCAAUCUUCUCUGGUAUUUUCCGUCAAGUGAUUCAUUGAUUCAGUUCAUUUAGGUAUCGCCAACAUGUAAAAGGCUGGUAGCUCUUUGUGGAAAUGUCUCCAGAUAAAUUAUUGCCAGAGAGAUCUAACGACUAUUCACAAGGUAAAGGAUGGGCGCCUGAUAUUCAAGUUGUUUUCUUUCCCAUUUGAACCACCUUCAAGUAUCCAUCAUAUCGCUCAGUAUCCGUAACUUAAUCUCAGUUUUUCAGGUGGCACUCAGAUUCCCUAAACAGGGUGAAUUUUCUCCUGACCCGCUUAUUUUGCGAAGAGUCCAGUAUGUGAAAGAAGAGAGGCUACAGAUUUGUGAGGAACCUUCCAGCAAAUGAUUUUCCGCACACGGAGAUCAAAUAAAGAUGGCAUGCUUUCUCCCAUCCCGAUGGGAAGGUUUCCCGGAUAGUGAUUGUCUCCAAUAUCAAGGUUUCCCAUGUUGGUACAAUUCUUCAAUGCGGAAGGGACUUCCCCGGAAAGAUUAUUCUUACUGAGCAUUAAGAAUUUGAGGAAAUUUGGGGAACCCAUUGAGCUUGGUAUUGUACCAGUUAGACUGUUGUUUGACAUAUCAAGGAAGUACA